rnacentral:tRNA from 1 species
UCCUCAGUAGCUCAGCGGUAGAGCAAUCGGCUGUUAACCGAUUGGUCGUAGGUUCAAAUCCUACCUGGGGAG